rnacentral:rRNA from 1 species
GACAGAGGGUGCAAACGUUGUUCGGAAUUACUGGGCGUAAAGCGCGUGUAGGCGGCUUUGCAAGUCGGGUGUGAAAUCCCUCAGCUCAACUGAGGAAGUGCGCCCGAAACUGCAUUGCUUGAGUACCGGAGAGGAUGGUGGAAUUCCCCAAGUAGAGGUGAAAUUCGUAGAUAUGGGGAGGAACACCGGUGGCGAAGGCGACCAUCUGGACGGAUACUGACGCUGAGACGCGAAAGCGUGGGUAGCAAACAGG